UCAAAUGUUCUUCGUGAACAUGGGCGGACUGCGUCAGUAACACGUGGAUAACCUGCCCUUAGGAUUGGCAUAACACCGGGAAACUGGUGAUAAUACCGAAUAGACCAUUUAUGCUGGAAUGCUUUUUGGUUCAAAGGCUUCGGCUGCCUAAGGAUGGAUCUGCGGCCUAUCAGGUAGUAGUGGGUGUAAUGUACCUACUAGCCUACGACGGGUACGGGUUGUGAGAGCAAGAGCCCGGAGAUGGAUUCUGAGACAUGAAUCCAGGCCCUACGGGGCGCAGCAGGCGCUAAAACUUUACAAUGCGGGAAACCGCGAUAAGGGGACACUGAGUGUCAGCAUAUUAUGUUGGCUGUCCACAUGUAUAAAAACCAUGUGUUAGCAAGGGCCGGGCAAGACCGGUGCCAGCCGCCGCGGUAACACCGGCGGCCCGAGUGGUGAUCACUUUUAUUGGGUCUAAAGGGUCCGUAGCCGGUUUGAUCAGUCUUCUGGGAAAUCUGACAGCUCAACUGUUAGGCUUUCAGGGGAUACUGUCAGACUUGGGACCGGGAGAGGUAAGAGGUACUACAGGGGUAGGAGUGAAAUCUUGUAAUCCCUGUGGGA
rnacentral:rRNA from 1 species